rnacentral:lncRNA from 1 species
CGAAGCUGAUCCCAGACCAUCUCACGGUCGGAACUUGCUCUGACUUUAUCCCAGUGCAAAGCCUUAAGCUUCGGUUUAGGAGUUUCCUCUGCAGGCUCAUUGGCACUGAACGUCUCUUUUAGAGUCUCUUCUGGUGAAGUCUUUGGAAGGUUUUCGGAUGGGAUCACAAAAGGAUUCGAAGGCGGCGUGAGAGGAGGUGGUCGGGACGCCUUAGGAGUCGCUUGAUUCCGUCGUGCCCAUGUCGGAAACGGUGGAGGAGGUGGCGGAGGCGGCACUCGUGCAGACACCGGAGGCUGUAGAAUCUGAGAUGAAAUGUUGGAGAUUCGUGGAGAUACAUCUAAGCUAUGGCUAAAGUCUCUAUCCGGAGAAGACGAAAGAGACGACGACGAGGCAGACUGUGGAUCGUGAGAAGCUUUCUCCGGCGGCGACUUGUGAGAAGCUUUCUCCGAACGCAAUGCAUCCAACUCGUUAAGGAAGCCUUGUCCCGGGCGCCGCCUUUGAUGUAAUAAGCCUCUUUAAAUCCAUUCUCAACCAGCAAUUCAGCCACUUUCAUGGAGUUACCAUCAAAACUGCCUUCCACAUCAAAACAUGUAAGACAAACACAAAGCAAUAUCUUAAAAAAAGUAUGAAGCUUUUGGUCUAAAUCCUUACUUGUCAAGUACACAAACAACUGUGUUCUCCGGAUCAGAGAAUCCUCCUUUAACUCUCUUCACGAACCCCGACUCAUCUUCCUCACUAUACGGAACCUGAACCGAGCUCUUACCCAGAAACUUGAGACUCGGCGACGCCAACGAGGCCAACGUCUUGUCGUCUCUGAUAUCAAGAAGCUGCGAAUCAGGCUGGCUCUUGAGCUUAAGAAACGCGUUGAUGGCGGUUAUCGGUUUAUACUUCCUCAGGUAGAAGAUCGCCGCCGGGUAGACGACGAGGUAGAUGAAUGUGCAUCCCGCCACGAAAAACGGGUACUUGUUGAAAAAGUUGUCGAUCGUGAUCAGAAUCGACUCCAGAUCGAUUUUUCCGGUGGAUUGGUCGGAGAUUGAGGUGAAGGGUUGUGUUGAUGCGAGGACAGGGGAACAGAGGAUGGUGUGAGAAAGGGUGAGAGAGAGAUUGGUUUUGGACAGAAGGUGUAGCGAAUGAGAUAUGUUGUUGAGUGGAGCUGUGCGACUUUGGUCGGAAUUUGGAGUUUGAGGAGUGGAGGGUUUGGAUAGGUUUCGCGGAGGAGAAGAUGCGAGAAUUGUCGGAAGAGACGACAUCAUAACUAAAUGGCGACGAGAGACGAUGAGUGGAAGCGCCAAGAGGAUAAGAAACAAAAUAAAGGGCUCAUUCUUGUAAAAUUGGAUAAACACUAAAAGAUGAUGUCAAAACUGUAAAUAACUACUUUUGUCAAUUAUUAAUUUACAUAAAAAAAAAAAAAAUUGAGAACUAUUAAUUUUAGAUACAAUUGCCAAAACAAUUUCCCAAUUUAUCAACAAAUUUUCCCAGCUUUUUGUCUAUACUAUUUUUAGGGCAAUUCUCUUAAAUAACAAUUUUUAAGUUUUUGUCACAAAAAUAGUCUUCAAAAAGAAAAUGACAAAAAUAGCUCCAUUUUAUUUUGAAAUUUUUAAUAUUUAUUUUUAUUUUUUUUAAAUUUGAAAUCUUAUCAUCAAAACCCCCUAAUUCUAGAUUAGUUAACCCUAGAGUCAAAAUACAUUUUUACUUUUCGAUAAAACUUAUUUUGUUUAUUUUCUUCAUUGAACGUUAUUUUGCGACAAAAACUUAGAAAGAUAUAUCUUAGAAAAUUUCUCCUAUUUUUAUCACGUUAAUUAAUGAUUUUGUCUUUUCUCUAAGUAUUUUGGUUUCAGUUAAAUAAAAAUAACAUUACAUAUGAAAGAAAUUUUAAUAGAUUAUUUAUUUUUGCUUAAGUCUUAAGAAGAGAAAAAAAAACUCUGUAUUGUCAAACACUACUGUUUUGAUUUUCCAUCUAACGACAGUGAAUUCUGAUUUAUUCAUAAAAUUUAAGAUGAACAAAUUUAAAAUGUAAACCUAUAAUAUUUUACACAAAUUUAGAAAAAAAUAAAUACUUGCGUCUCUGUUUCCCUCCUCUCUCUAUAUAUUAUGGCAAAACAAACUGGAUACAUUUUACACAACACAAAGCUGAUCCCAUCUUAAUAAACUAAUGAGAUGAGUUAUGUUCAUCGUCUGAAGAUGAAGAAGAAGAAGACUGCUUUCGUCCGAAUAGUCCAGGCAGAGGCUGUGGCAGCAUUGGGUUCACAGGAACUGGAAACUUGUGAGCAGAACUAACCAUUGUUCUUUCGUUUAUCAUCCCUACUUCUUUGCAGACUCUGUCCACUACUCCGAGGAAGUCUCGAACCACCAAGAAUAUCCUAAACGGAUGUGCUUCUUCUUUAGCCGAGUUCCCAUGGAAAUACUCUGUGAUCUCUUUCACGAGAGACAACGCUACGCUCUCUUGAGCUUGUACUCUGAUGAUGUCUUCUUCAGCUCUUUUCAGAAACGUGUUCAUCGAUUCCAAAAACCUCUCGCUACUGCUGCUGCCGCUUUCUUCUCUGACCGUUGAUUGGAUUUGGACUGCUUCGUUGAUCUUGGCAAUGCCUUGGGAAAGCUUGGAGACGUAGCUGCUGAGUACUUCCGAGUCCAUUGCCGCAGCUUUCUUGACGUUGCCAAGCUCUGAAGAUAGACUUGAUACAACUUGGAGGCCGAGUUUCCUGCAUUUGAUGUCAUCCGUUUGUGUAUUGUUGUCACCUGAGAGACGUGUGCCUUCUGCUCGGAUGAUCUCUUGAACAACGAAAUGCAAGAGAGUUGUUUUCCCAUCAGCGCCUUUGACAUCGACCAGCUUGAGGAGCGUGUCGAGCUUGAACGCAUGUGCGUCGCCUCGGUUCGUCCCAACGUUCAUGCGGUUUCCUGUCUUUAGAACCGCUUCUAGAAGCUUUAAGAACAUUCUGCUGUUCCUCAGUUCCUCACAAGCAGCCUACCCCAUAAAAGGUUUGAUUCGUUACAAACACAAAUGGUAGCAAGAGAGAGAGAAGAUAGCUUUGCUUUAUACAUUACCUCAAGAGUCUGGAAAGAGUUCUUCAGGUAUUCAACCUCGGAGUCAAAGUUAGCUACAUAGAGCAUUGCGUCAACUCUUUUAAAGGCAAAAGGGAUGUCUAGCAUUGCCUUGAGGAACUUCUCAGCAUGUCCAAGCUUUACAGGCGAAUCAUCCUUGUACUCUUUUAACCUGCGCUCUUCCUCUUUCGUUGGGGCCAUCUUGAGUAAGCUCUCUAGAAGUUCAGUCCCAAGUGUUUCGGCAUUGCCUGAAAAGCAUAACAUAACAACAAUCAUUCAGGACAUCAACUUCUUAGAUCAUAGCUAAACAAACGCAGAUGAAAUGUGAAACUAAGUAUGUGACAGCAUAGGUUACCUUCAAGAAGCGCUUCACAGACUUCUUCAAUAGUGACAUUAAGUGCACGAAGCAGGAUUGCAAUAUUCUGAGCCUUCUUAGGGUCCAAGACUCUGUUCUCUUGAUUCGGGCUUGGGAGAGCGCAUCUUGGAGUAGUCUGGCUCUGAUUUGGUUUGGAGUCUAACGACUUUGCCACAAACAACGUUUCAAUCAUCUCUUCAUCUAAUCUGCAAUCACACCAAUAAAAUUUCAACAACCAUAUUGUGACAAAGAAACUAUGAGAUUAACUCACUUGAAAGAGCUUGAACGAAGCUGAUCCCAGACCAUCUCACGGUCGGAACUUGCUCUGACUUUAUCCCAGUGCAAAGCCUUAAGCUUCGGUUUAGGAGUUUCCUCUGCAGGCUCAUUGGCACUGAACGUCUCUUUUAGAGUCUCUUCUGGUGAAGUCUUUGGAAGGUUUUCGGAUGGGAUCACAAAAGGAUUCGAAGGCGGCGUGAGAGGAGGUGGUCGGGACGCCUUAGGAGUCGCUUGAUUCCGUCGUGCCCAUGUCGGAAACGGUGGAGGAGGUGGCGGAGGCGGCACUCGUGCAGACACCGGAGGCUGUAGAAUCUGAGAUGAAAUGUUGGAGAUUCGUGGAGAUACAUCUAAGCUAUGGCUAAAGUCUCUAUCCGGAGAAGACGAAAGAGACGACGACGAGGCAGACUGUGGAUCGUGAGAAGCUUUCUCCGGCGGCGACUUGUGAGAAGCUUUCUCCGAACGCAAUGCAUCCAACUCGUUAAGGAAGCCUUGUCCCGGAGAAGAGAGUAGCUGAGACUGCAAUCCUU